rnacentral:rRNA from 1 species
CACGUAGGGCGCGAGCGUUGUCCGGAAUUAUUGGGCGUAAAGAGCUCGUAGGCGGCCUGUUGCGUCCGCUGUGAAAGCCCCGGGGGCUUAACCCCGGGUCGCAGUGGAUACGGGCAGGCUAGAGGUAGGUAGGGGAGAAUGGAAUUCCCGGUGUAGCGGUGAAAUGCGCAGAUAUCAGGAGGAACACCGGUGGCGAAGGCGGGUCUCUGGGCCGAUACUGACGCUGAGGAGCGAAAGCGUGGGGAGCGAACAGG